UGGGGAAUAUUGCACAAUGGGCGAAAGCCUGAUGCAGCAACGCCGCGUGAGUGAUGAAGGCCUUCGGGUUGUAAAGCUCUGUCUUCUGGGACGAUAAUGACGGUACCAGAGGAGGAAGCCACGGCUAACUACGUGCCAGCAGCCGCGGUAAUACGUAGGUGGCAAGCGUUGUCCGGAUUUACUGGGCGUAAAGGAUGCGUAGGCGGAUACUUAAGUCAGAUGUGAAAAUCCUGGGCUUAACUUGGGAACUGCAUUUGAAACUGGGUAUCUAGAGUGCGGGAGAGGAAAGUGGAAUUCCUAGUGUAGCGGUGAAAUGCGUAGAGAUUAGGAAGAACACCAGUGGCGAAGGCGACUUUCUGGACCGUAACUGACGCUGAGGCAUGAAAGCGUGGGGAGCAAACA
rnacentral:rRNA from 1 species